rnacentral:tRNA from 2 species
GGGGGUAUAGCUCAGUUGGUAGAGCGCCUGCUUUGCACGCAGGAAGUCAGCGGUUCGAGUCCGCUUACCUCCA